rnacentral:ncRNA from 2 species
AUUGUAUGCACGGGGUGCUGGACUUAAUCCGGCUGAGAAAAUACCCGAAACCUGAUUUGGAUAAUGCCAACGUAGGGAUGCAAGCCAGAUUUCCU